GGGCCCGCACAAGCAGCGGAGCGUGUGGUUUAAUUCGAGGCUACACGAAGCACCUUACCUGGGCUUGACAUGAUUGUGAACGAGGCGGAAACGCCGAGGGCCGCAAGGCACAGUCACAGGUGCUGCAUGGCUGUCGUCAGCUCGUGCCGUGAGGUGUUAGGUUAAGUCCUGUAACGAGCGCAACCCCUGGGUCCAGUUACACGCAGUCUGGACCGACUGCCCGCGACAAGCGGGAGGAAGGUGGGGAUGAUGUCAAGUCAGCAUGGCCUUUAUGUCCAGGGCUACACACACGCUACAAUGGCCGGUACAAUGGGUCGCCAAGCCGCAAGGCGCAGCCAAUCCUAUCAAAGCCGGUCUCAGUUCGGAUUGUGGGCUGCAACCCGCCCACAUGAAGUCGGAGUUGCUAGUAACCGCGCGUCAGCCAUAGUGCGGUGAAUACGUUCCCGGGCCUU
rnacentral:rRNA from 1 species